rnacentral:tRNA from 1 species
GUGACCAUAGCUCAGUUGGUAGAGUCCCGGAUUGUGAUUCCGGUUGUCGCGAGUUCGAAUCCUCGUUGGUCACCCCA